AAACGAAAAUCAAAUCUCAGAGGAGAGAGAAAGAGGAGAAAAAAAUGGGGUGUUUCUCUUGCUUCGAUGGUGGAAACAAAGAACAGCGAAAGGAGGAAGAAAGAUUGGCCUCUGCCGAAGCUCGUGCCAAAGCCGCUGAGGCUGCUCAGAAAAGGCAAGAGCAGUUUGAACAGUCAGCUGCAGGAAGAGCUGCACGUGCACAGAUGCAAGCGGCCGCAAAGCAGUCAGCAAACUCUAAUAAUGGCGAACCUGUUUUGAAGUGGCAGAUGGGUUGAAGUUGAAGUUUUGCUUUUUCUCUAUUCAGCCUAAAUUGCUCAUGUAUAUAUGGAAAUAAAAUUUAACGCUACCAUAGUUUCCAAGUUGUGAGUUCCUCUUGUCAAAUAAGUGAUACAGUAAAAAUGCACCGACUGUCCAUUCUUUGUUCUCAAUUUUCAGUUGUAAUGUAUGAUAAAUCCAAGAAGAAGUUGAAACUGUAAUCUUAAGUUUUUGCUUUGUUCUGUUCCAUAUCAACCUCUACGUAUCCAGCUUCUUGAUUUCCUU